rnacentral:rRNA from 1 species
UGGGGAAUAUUGGACAAUGGGCGCAAGCCUGAUCCAGCCAUGCCGCGUGGGUGAUGAAGGCCCUAGGGUUGUAAAGCUCUUUCACCGGUGAAGAUAAUGACGGUAACCGGAGAAGAAGCCCCGGCUAACUUCGUGCCAGCAGCCGCGGUAAUACGAAGGGGGCUAGCGUUGUUCGGAUUUACUGGGCGUAAAGCGCACGUAGGCGGACGAUUAAGUCAGGGGUGAAAUCCCGGGGCUCAACCCCGGAACUGCCUUUGAUACUGGUAGUCUUGAGUUCGAGAGAGGUGAGUGGAAUUCCGAGUGUAGAGGUGAAAUUCGUCGAUAUUCGGAGGAACACCAGUGGCGAAGGCGGCUCACUGGCUCGAUACUGACGCUGAGGUGCGGAAGCGUGGGGAGCAAACAGG